AGCUUUCUAAAUCCGUGCAGAGAUUUCGUCAGAUACCAACCGAUUAGGGUUGAUCAGACUUUCAAGGUAAAUGAGGUU
rnacentral:pre_miRNA from 1 species